rnacentral:lncRNA from 1 species
UGAGUUCCAAGUUAAAGCAAAGAGGGCCUACUGGUUUAGUUUGCCUAUGAAAUAUUUCCAAAAAGGAUGUAUCCAACGCUCAGAAAAGAAAAAUCAUGAAAAAUUGCAGAAGAAACAAAUGAAGAAAGUAACCUUGAUUAUAUCCAUAGCUUCUUUUGCUAUAUGAGACUGUUGUUAAUCAAGAUUAUACAUUCCGCCUAUUAAUCUACUUAAUCAAUGAUGUUGAUUGAUUGGUUAUUGCCUAACAAGAGAAUAUUGUCCCAUUCUUCAUGCCACAACCUCUCAAUACUGAAAUUAAAAAUAGGAGAAAUACCGAGAUAAUAGGUAAAAUGAUGAGCUUAAUCAUACACAUGGUCAAACAGUGCUAACAAAACCUUUUUUUUUUUUUUUCACAAUUCAAUAUAUUAAAAUGAUUAGGUUGAAUAUGUUGACUGAUAUGCACUUAUUAAAAUUACAUUUGUUUCACAAUUCAGUAUAUAUUUUUUGGUCAUUUUAUAUUAGGGUAAAUUAGUAAUUC